UGGGGAAUCUUCCACAAUGGGCGAAAGCCUGAUGGAGCGACGCCGCGUGAGAGAAGAAGGCCUUCGGGUUGUAAAUCUCUGUCUUCGGGGAAGAAUGUGCCCUAUGUGAAUAAUGUGGGGUAAUGACGGUACUCGAGGAGGAAGCCACGGCUAACUAUGUGCCAGCAGCCGCGGUAAUACAUAGGGUGCGAGCGUUGUCCGGAUUUACUGGGCGUAAAGAGCGUGUAGGUGGCGCUUCAAGUCAAACUUCAAAGCCCGAAGCUCAACUUCGGUCUGGGUUUGAUACUGUUGUGCUAGAGAGUGGAAGAGGAAAGCGGAACAAACAGUGUAGCGGUGAAAUGCGUAGAUAUUGUUUGGAACACCCGUGGCGAAGGCGGCUUUCUGGUCCAUUUCUGACACUAAAGCGCGAGAGCAUGGGGAGCAAACAGG
rnacentral:rRNA from 1 species